AUGUCAAAUCAUCAUGCCCCUUACGUCUAGGGCUACAGGCGUGCUACAAUGGCCGAUACAAUGAGAUGCAAUAUCGCGAGAUGGAGCUAAUCUCCAAAAUCGGUCCCAGUUCGGAUUGGAGUCUGCAACUCGACUCCAUGAAGUUGGAAUCGCUAGUAAUCCUGAAUCAGAAUGUCAGGGUGAAUACGUUCCCGGGUGUU
rnacentral:rRNA from 1 species